UACGUAGGGUGCAAGCGUUGUCCGGAAUUAUUGGGCGUAAAGGGCUCGUAGGCGGUCCAUCGCGUCGGGAGUGAAAAGCUGGGGCUUAACCCCAGUCCUGCUUCCGAUACGGGUGGACUAGAGGUAGGUAGGGGAGAACGGAAUUCCGGGUGUAGCGGUGGAAUGCGUAGAGAUCCGGAAGAACACCGGUGGCGAAGGCGGUUGGCUGGGCCGUUGCUGACACUGAUGCGCGACAGCGUGGGGAGCAAACAGGG
rnacentral:rRNA from 1 species